rnacentral:rRNA from 1 species
UACGGUGAAUACGUUCCCGGACCUUGUACACACCGCCCGUCAAGCCAUGGAAGCUGGGUGUACCUAAAGUCGACUAACCGUAAGGAGUCGCCAAGGGUAAAACUAGUAACUGGGCU